UCCUCAUGAUGGUGUCAAAAGCUGUCUAUAU
rnacentral:piRNA from 1 species